rnacentral:rRNA from 1 species
UACGUAGGGUGCGAGCGUUGUCCGGAAUCAUUGGGCGUAAAGGGCUCGUAGGCGGUCCAUCGCGUCGGGAGUGAAACGCUGGGGCUUAACCCCAGUCCUGCUUUCGAUACGGGUGGACUAGAGGUAGGCAGGGGAGAAUGGAAUUCCUGGUGUAGCGGUGAAAUGCGCAGAUAUCAGGAGGAACACCGGUGGCGAAGGCGACUCGCUGGACAGACAUUGACGCUGAGGUGCGAAAGCGUGGGGAGCAAACAGG